rnacentral:rRNA from 1 species
CUUGCUUUCUUUGCUGGCGACCGGCGCACGGGUGAGUAACACGUAUCCAACCUGCCCUUUACUCGGGGAUAGCCUUUCGAAAGAAAGAUUAAUACCCGAUAGCGUAAUGAUUCCGCAUGGUUUCAUUAUUAAAGGAUUCCGGUAAAGGAUGGGGAUGCGUUCCAUUAGGUUGUUGGUGAGGUAACGGCCCACCAAGCCUUCGAUGGAUAGGGGUUCUGAGAGGAAGGUCCCCCACAUUGGGACUGAGACACGGUCCAA